CGGCGGACGGGUGAGUAACGCGUGGGUAACCUGCCUCAUACAGGGGGAUAACAGUUAGAAAUGACUGCUAAUACCGCAUAAGACCACGGUACCGCAUGGUACAGUGGUAAAAACUCCGGUGGUACGAGAUGGACCCGCGUCUGAUUAGGUAGUUGGUGGGGUAACGGCCUACCAAGCCGACGAUCAGUAGCCGACCUGAGAGGGUGACCGGCCACAUUGGGACUGAGACACGGCCCAG
rnacentral:rRNA from 1 species